GACGAACGCUGGCGGCGUGCUUAACACAUGCAAGUCGAACGGAAAGGCCCUGCUUUUGUGGGGUGCUCGAGUGGCGAACGGGUGAGUAACACGUGAGUAACCUGCCCUUGACUUUGGGAUAACUUCAGGAAACUGGGGCUAAUACCGGAUAGGAGCUCCUGCUGCAUGGUGGGGGUUGGAAAGUUUCGGCGGUUGUGUAUGGACUCGCGGCUUAUCAGCUUGUUGGUGGGGUAGUGGCUUACCAAGGCUUUGACGGGUAGCCGGCCUGAGAGGGUGACCGGCCACAUUGGGAUUGAGAAACGGCCAAGACUCAUACGGGAGGAAGGAGUGGAGAAUAUUGCACAAUGGGCGGAAGCAUGAUGCAGCAACGCCGGGUGCGGGAUGACGGCCUUCGGGUUGUAAACCGCUUUCGCCUGUGACGAAGCGUGAGUGACGGUAAUGGGUAAAGAAGCACCGGCUAACUACGU
rnacentral:rRNA from 1 species